AACGAACGCUGGCGGCAUGCCUAACACAUGCAAGUCGAACGAUCCCUUCGGGGAUAGUGGCGCACGGGUGCGUAACGCGUGGGAACCUGCCCUUAGGUUCGGAAUAACUCAGAGAAAUUUGAGCUAAUACCGGAUAGUGUCUUCGGACCAAAGAUUUAUCGCCUUUGGAUGGGCCCGCGUUGGAUUAGCUAGUUGGUGGGGUAAAGGCCUACCAAGGCGACGAUCCAUAGCUGGUCUGAGAGGAUGAUCAGCCACACUGGGACUGAGACACGGCCCAGACUCCUACGGGAGGCAGCAGUGGGGAAUAUUGGACAAUGGGCGAAAGCCUGAUCCAGCAAUGCCGCGUGAGUGAUGAAGGCCUUAGGGUUGUAAAGCUCUUUUACCCGGGAUGAUAAUGACAGUACCGGGAGAAUAAGCCCCGGCUAACUCCGUG
rnacentral:rRNA from 1 species